UACGUAGGGACCAAGCGUUGUCCGGAAUCAUUGGGCGUAAAGAGCGUGUAGGCGGCUUGUUAAGUCUUGCGUGAAAUCUCGGGGCUCAACCCCGAGCGGUCGUGAGAAACUGGCAGGCUAGAGUGCGGGAGAGGAGAGUGGAAUUCCUGGUGUAGCGGUGAAAUGCGCAGAUAUCAGGAAGAACACCCGUGGCGAAGGCGGCUCUCUGGACGCAACUGACGCUGAGACGCGAAGCGUGGGGAGCAACAGG
rnacentral:rRNA from 1 species